UACAGAGGGGGGCGAGCGUUGUUCGGAAUUACUGGGCGUAAAGGGCGCGUAGGCGGCCUUCUAAGUCGAACGUGAAAUCCCCGGGCUCAACCCGGGAACUGCGUCCGAUACUGGGAGGCUUGAAUCCGGGGAGAGGGAUGUGGAAUUCCAGGUGUAGCGGUGAAAUGCGUAGAUAUCUGGAGGAACACCGGUGGCGAAGGCGGCAUCUGGACCGGUAUUGACGCUGAGG
rnacentral:rRNA from 1 species